rnacentral:rRNA from 1 species
GACGAACGCUGGCGGCGUGGAUUAGGCAUGCAAGUCGAACGGUAGGAUACCUUCGGGUAUCUGAGAGUGGCGAACGGGUGAGUAACACGUAGGUGAUCUACCCUCAAGAUUGGGACAACCCAGGGAAACUUGGGCUAAUACCGGAUGAAAGCAGCAGUGAUGUUGUUUGAAAGGUGGCGUAAGCUGCCGUUUGGGGAUGAGCCUGCGCUCUAUUAGUUAGUUGGCGGGGUAAAGGCCCACCAAGGCGAUGAUAGAUAGGCGGCCUUAACGGGUGGUCGCCCACACUGGGAUUGAGAUACGGCCCAGACUCCUACGGGAGGCAGCAGUCGAGAAUAGUCUACAAUGGCCGAAAGGCUGAUAGUGCGACGCCGCGUGAACGAAGAAGCCCUUCGGGUGUAAAGUUCUUUUAUAUGUGAGCAGUGCUUUCUAUGUGAACAGCAUGGGGAGAGAGAUAUAGCAUAUGAAUAAGCAACGGCUAACUCCGUGCCAGC